AUAAAUUGGUUUCGCUUCACACUGUCUUGAUCAAAAGUGUGUGAAACUUUUGAGAAUUGUGGUUGAACUCCUUUGAUGAAGCUCUUGUUGGCACCAUAAAUUGGUUUUGCAUCACACUGUCUUGAUCAAGAGUGUGUGAAGCUUUUGAGAAUUGUGGUUGACCUCCAUUGAUAAAGCUCUUGUUGACAUCAUAAAUUGGUUUUGCUUCACACUUGCUUGAUCAAGAGUGUGUGAAGCUUUCUACAAGUUGUAGUGUUUGCAUUGUUACAGAGGAGAAAUGUCUGAAGCAGAUGCAAGAGGGCUGAAUAGCUUGAUCUUCGUAUGCCAUGCACUGAAGUUGUUGUUGGCUUGCCACAAGACUUUGUUGGUGACUAUAACUCUUAUUGUGCAUAAGUGCUCCCCUAGUUGAGUUGUCAAGCUUGAGGGUUUUUGAUUAUUUGUGAAUGCUAGGAGUUCACAUGUACAAGUUGUACCAUUCGUCUUCUGGUAGGUGAAAUGAAUGGUGAGUUACUUUCAUUACUUGGUUGGUGGUACGAAUGUGAGUUUUUUCACCACCUUUCAUCACAUUUCAUCACCUGGUUGGUGGCAUGAGGAUGAGUUCCUUCUUCACCUGGUUGGUGGCUGAAUGGCAAGUUACCAAAUGAUUUUAGAGUACGGGUUGUACAUUUCAUCACUUGGUUGGGGGCAUGAAGAAGAGUAC
rnacentral:lncRNA from 1 species